rnacentral:rRNA from 1 species
UACGGGGGGAGCAAGCGUUGUUCGGAUUUACUGGGCGUAAAGGGCUCGUAGGCGGCCAACUAAGUCAGACGUGAAAUCCCCAGGCUCAACCUGGGAACUGCGUCUGAUACUGGAUGGCUUGAAUCCGGGAGAGGGAUGCAGAAUUCCAGGUGUAGCGGUGAAAUGCGUAGAUAUCUGGAGGAAUACCGGUGGCGAAGGCGGCAUCCUGGACCGGCACUGACGCUGAGGAGCGAAAGCCAGGGGAGCAAACGGG